CCUCAUGAGCCCUGUACAGUGCCUGCACCCUGCUAAGUGCAGUAAUCCAAGAAGGCAAGGGAGACUGGCAGCUCCAUGGCUCAGCCACGCCCAGGAAGGCCCCCUUCUGUGUGGAGGCAUGAGACUACCCAGGCAGAACAGAGAAGCAGCCUACAGGACACACAGGUACAGGCUAGAGGAAGGGGCUGCUGGCUCAUACAAUCUGCAGGUUUUCCACAUGCAGGCCUGGAGGGAGCACCCUCUGUGUGGAGCAGUGCAAGCACCUACCUGUCUGUCGGUCCAACAGUGCUAACAGUGAGCCCCAAGGCCCCCAGACAAGCUGAGCUCCAGACACGUGGCACUGACAGAUGCUGAGGUCUGUGCUCCACCCUCUCUGCUUCACCUGCAACCUCCUCCAACCCUCAGGACAGACAGCCUCAGAGGUUCCAGGGUAUUCAGAGCAGCAGGGGCAAGGUGUUGGGUGUGUUUUGUCCCAGCAACAAGAAACAUGUAACCAAGACACUGAGACACAGUACUGACCCCCACAGUUUAAUGAAGGAAACAUUUUAUUGGGACCUCAGUUUCUGAGGACUUAGUCCAAGACUGGCUGGCUCACAAAUAAAACCAUCAUGGCAAAGGGGUGCAACAGAGCAAAGGUGCUUGGUUCAAGUGACUGGGAAGCAGAGAUGUGGAAAAUCACAACAGAAGACAAGGCCGGGGCCACACACCCCUAGACCAACCCACCAGGAUCUACCCAGAUAUACCCAGAGCAAAACAGACUGAGGUGCAGAGAUGAGCACAAUGUGAUCAGAUGGCAGGGCCCACCCCAAGUGUUCUGAGGCUGGAGCCUCAGACUUUCCUGAUCUCAACUGCCAGCCCCAUUCGGGAGAGGAUCUUGGUUUGGGAUGUUUUAGUCUUGUUCCUGUCUGGACCAUCUUCAGAUUCCAAGGUGGUCAGCAAGCCCACAAUGUGAGACCCAGCCCCAGCUGGCCUUCAACUCAUGGAGAUUCUCCUGUCUCGGCCUCCCAAGUCUGGGAUUACAGGUGUGCACCACCACAGCUGGCAACAAUGAGUGAAUUUAAAGAUCAAUCCAAAGCUAUGAGGAUGUAUGCAGCUCAGUGCUCCAUGAACUCAAGGGGACUGAGAUGGAAGGGGAGAACAUAAAAACAACUGAGAUGUGCUAUGUGCUGGUUCUGCCUGUGUGAAGCUCUGCCAGGCUCAGCAGGGAGCCUGGCCAAUAUGGCCCUGGACAGCGCCUCCCUUCAACGCUGACUGACUCCCACAUUCUUCUUGCAAACCUGAAAAUUGAACUCCCUGCUUCUCUUGCACAAGCCAACAUCCCCAAGUCAGCUGUCUCAAAGUCUCUCUGCCCACCCCUUCAA